AUAUCAAUAAGCGGAGGAAAAGAAACUAACCAGGAUUCCCCUAGUAACGGCGAGUGAACCGGGAAUAGCCCAACUUGUAAAUCUCCAGCCUUCGGCUGGCGAAUUGUAGUCUCCAGACGCGUCCUCUGUGGCGAGUCCGGCCCAAGUUCCCUGGAAGGGGACGUCAGAGAGGGUGAGAACCCCGUCGGCCGGUCCUUCAGCCACUCCACGAGGCGCGCUCGUAGAGUCGGGUUGUUUGGGAAUGCAGCCCAAAGCAGGUGGUAAAUCCCAUCUAAGGCUAAAUAUGGACGGGAGACCGAUAGCGCACAAGUA
rnacentral:rRNA from 1 species